UAGGGAAUCUUCGGCAAUGGGGGCAACCCUGACCGAGCAACGCCGCGUGAGUGAAGAAGGUUUUCGGAUCGUAAAGCUCUGUUGUAAGUCAAGAACGAGUGUGAGAGUGGAAAGUUCACACUGUGACGGUAGCUUACCAGAAAGGGACGGCUAACUACGUGCCAGCAGCCGCGGUAAUACGUAGGUCCCGAGCGUUGUCCGGAUUUAUUGGGCGUAAAGCGAGCGCAGGCGGUUUGAUAAGUCUGAAGUUAAAGGCUGUGGCUCAACCAUAGUUCGCUUUGGAAACUGUCAAACUUGAGUGCAGAAGGGGAGAGUGGAAUUCCAUGUGUAGCGGUGAAAUGCGUAGAUAUAUGGAGGAACACCGAUGGCGAAAGCGGCUCUCUGGUCUGUAACUGACGCUGAGGCUCGAAAGCGUGGGGAGCGAACAGGAUUAGAUACCCUGGUAGUCCACGCCGUAAACGAUGAGUGCUAGGUGUUGGAUCCUUUCCGGGAUUCAGUGCCGCAGCUAACGCAUUAAGCACUCCGCCUGGGGAGUACGACCGCAAGGUUG
rnacentral:rRNA from 1 species